UACAGAGGGUGCGAGCGUUAAUCGGAAUUACUGGGCGUAAAGGGCGCGUAGGCGGCUACAUAAGUUAGGUGUGAAAUUUCUGGGCUUAACCUAGGAACUGCACUUGAUACUGUGUGGCUAGAGUAGAGUAGAGGAAAGUGGAAUUUCCGGUGUAGCGGUGAAAUGCGUAGAUAUCGGAAAGAACAUCAGUGGCGAAGGCGGCUUUCUGGACUUAUACUGACGCUGAGGCGCGAAAGCAUGGGUAGCAAACAGG
rnacentral:rRNA from 1 species